rnacentral:rRNA from 1 species
UGGGGAAUAUUGGACAAUGGGCGCAAGCCUGAUCCAGCCAUGCCGCGUGAGUGAUGAAGGCCCUAGGGUUGUAAAGCUCUUUCACCGGUGAAGAUAAUGACGGUAACCGGAGAAGAAGCCCCGGCUAACUUCGUGCCAGCAGCCGCGGUAAUACGAAGGGGGCUAGCGUUGUUCGGAUUUACUGGGCGUAAAGCGCACGUAGGCGGACUAUUAAGUCAGGGGUGAAAUCCCGGGGCUCAACCCCGGAACUGCCUUUGAUACUGGUAGUCUUGAGUUCGAGAGAGGUGAGUGGAAUUCCGAGUAUAGAGGUGAAAUUCGUAGAUAUUCGGAGGAACACCAGUGGCGAAGGCGGCUCACUGGCUCGAUACUGACGCUGAGGUGCGAAAGCGUGGGGAGCAAACAGG